GACGAACGCUGGCGGCGUGCUUAACACAUGCAAGUCGAGCGAGGCCCUUCCUUCGGGAAGGUGUCCUAGCGGCGAACGGGUGAGUAACACGUGGGCAACCUGCCCUCAGCUCUGGGAUAACUCCGGGAAACCGGGGCUAAUACCGGAUACGACCUCGUCAGGCAUCUGUCGAGGUGGAAAGUUUUUCGGCUGAGGAUGGGCCCGCGGCCUAUCAGCUCGUUGGUGGGGUGACGGCCUACCAAGGCGACGACGGGUAGCCGGCCUGAGAGGGUGACCGGCCACACUGGGACUGAGACACGGCCCAGACUCCUACGGGAGGCAGCAGUGGGGAAUAUUGCGCAAUGGGCGAAAGCCUGACGCAGCGACGCCGCGUGAGGGACGAAGGCCUUCGGGUUGUAAACCUCUUUCAGCAGGGACGAAGCGAAAGUGACGGUACCUGCAGAAGAAGCACCGGCCAACUACGUGCCAGCCGCCGCGGUAAAAC
rnacentral:rRNA from 1 species